CAGCAGCCGCGGUAAUACCGGCGGCCCGAGUGGCGGUCACUAUUAUUUGGCUUAAAGCGUCCGUAGCCGGGUUGGGAAGUCCUCCGGGAAAUCUGGCCGCUUAACGGUCAGAAUGCCGGAGGAUACUCCCAGCCUAGGGAGCGGGAGAGGCCGAGGGUAUUCCCGGAGUAGGGGUGAAAUCCUAUAAUCCCGGGAGGACCACCUGUGGCGAAGGCGCUCGGCUGGAACGCGUCCGACGGUGAGGGACGAAGGCCAGGGGAGCAAACCGGAUUAGAUACCCGGGUAGUCCUGGCUGUAAACGAUGCGGACUUUGUGUCGGACAAGCUAUGAGCUUGUCCGGUGCCGGAGGGAAACCGUUAAGUCCGCCGCCUGGGGAGUACGGCCGCAAGGCUGAAACUUAAAGGAAUUGGCGGG
rnacentral:rRNA from 1 species